AAGGAUCAUUACCGAGUGCGGGUCCUUUGGGCCCAACCUCCCAUCCGUGUCUAUUAUACCCUGUUGCUUCGGCGGGCCCGCCGCUUGUCGGCCGCCGGGGGGGCGCCUUUGCCCCCCGGGCCCGUGCCCGCCGGAGACCCCAACACGAACACUGUCUGAAAGCGUGCAGUCUGAGUUGAUUGAAUGCAAUCAGUUAAAACUUUCAACAAUGGAUCUCUUGGUUCCGGCAUCGAUGAAGAACGCAGCGAAAUGCGAUAACUAAUGUGAAUUGCAGAAUUCAGUGAAUCAUCGAGUCUUUGAACGCACAUUGCGCCCCCUGGUAUUCCGGGGGGCAUGCCUGUCCGAGCGUCAUUGCUGCCCUCAAGCCCGGCUUGUGUGUUGGGUCGCCGUCCCCCUCUCCGGGGGGACGGGCCCGAAAGGCAGCGGCGGCACCGCGUCCGAUCCUCGAGCGUAUGGGGCUUUGUCACAUGCUCUGUAGGAUUGGCCGGCGCCUGCCGACGUUUUCCAACCAUUUUUUCCAGGUUGACCUCGGAUCAGGUAGGGAUACCCGCUGAACUUAAGCAUAUCAAUAAGCGGAGGAAAAGAAACCAACCGGGAUUGCCUCAGUAACGGCGAGUGAAGCGGCAAGAGCUCAAAUUUGAAAGCUGGCUCCUUCGGAGUCCGCAUUGUAAUUUGCAGAGGAUGCUUUGGGUGCGGCCCCCGUCUAAGUGCCCUGGAACGGGCCGUCAGAGAGGGUGAGAAUCCCGUCUUGGGCGGGGUGUCCGUGCCCGUGUAAAGCUCCUUCGACGAGUCGAGUUGUUUGGGAAUGCAGCUCUAAAUGGGUGGUAAAUUUCAUCUAAAGCUAAAUACUGGCCGGAGACCGAUAGCGCACAAGUAGAGUGAUCGAAAGAUGAAAAGCACUUUGAAAAGAGAGUUAAACAGCACGUGAAAUUGUUGAAAGGGAAGCGCUUGCGACCAGACUCGCCCGCGGGGUUCAGCCGGCAUUCGUGCCGGUGUACUUCCCCGUGGGCGGGCCAGCGUCGGUUUGGGCGGCCGGUCAAAGGCCCCUGGAAUGUAGUACCCUCCGGGGUACCUUAUAGCCAGGGGUGCAAUGCGGCCAGCCUGGACCGAGGAACGCGCUUCGGCACGGACGCUGGCAUAAUGGUCG
rnacentral:rRNA from 1 species